GGUAAUUCUAGAGCUAAUACAUGCUGUUAAGCCUGACUUUGAGGAAGGGCUGUAUUUAUUAGAUAACAAAUCAAUAUUCCUUGUGUCUAUUGUGACGAUUCAUAAUAACUGAUCGAAUCGCAUGGGCUUUGCCCGCGAUACAUCAUUCAAGUUUCUGCCCCAUCAGCUUUCGAUGGUAGUGUAUUGGACUACCAUGGCUUUCACGGGUAACGGAGGAUUAGGGUUCGAUUCCGGAGAGGGAGCCUGAGAAACGGCUACCACAUCUAAGGAAGGCAGCAGGCGCGUAAAUUACCCAAUCCUGACUCAGGGAGGUAGUGACAAGAAAUAACGGACCGAAGCCUAUGUUUCGGGAUUGCAAUGAGUAGAAUUUAAACCCCUUUACGAGGAUCAAUUGGAGGGCAAGUCUGGUGCCAGCAGCCGCGGUAAUUCCAGCUCCAAUAGCGUAUAUUAAAGUUGUUGCAGUUAAAAAGCUCGUAGUUGGAUUUCUGGGAGGGUGCCAAUGCCGUCUUGUUGAUUGUGCAGCGGCGCCCUUCCAUCCUUCUGUUAACGUUUCUGAUAUUCAUUUAUUGGUCUCGGGCUCAGAUAUUUUACCUUGAGAAAAUUAGAGUGUUCCAGGCAGGCUCGCGCCGGAAUACAUUAGCAUGGAAUAAUAGAAUAGGACUUUAGUCUCCUUUGUUGGUUUGAGGGACUGAAGUAAUGAUUAAUAGGGAUAGUUGGGGGCAUUAGUAUUU
rnacentral:rRNA from 1 species